AUCGCAACACCUAAAGGAUCCUCAUUAAGGUGGGUGGAAUAGUAUAACAAUAUGCUAAAUGUUGUUAUAGUAUCCCACCUACCCUGAUGUAUCUUUAAGACUAUCUUACGGU
rnacentral:miRNA from 2 species